GUUUUUAUCAAUCCCCACAGGAUGCACUCCUACUCUCUCUUCCAGGGUCCCCUGCUUCCUGUCCGCGUUCCCACAGCUGCUGAGGGCCACAGCUCCCGCCUGUGCACAGAGGGUCCUUGCUGUGUGUACGAGAUGGUGGCUCCCUGCGCCAUGUGGCAGAUGUUCAGCAUCAGGAAUCAAAACAGCUUUCACACCACGCAGCACAUUCUUCUUCCAGUCCCGUUCAUUUCCUCUCGGUGGGAUGUGGAACAAUUUCUCUCAUCUGUUGCUCACUCAGUGAAACUGAGAAGUGGACAGAGGAGGCCAGAGACCGCAUGGAGCUUCCUGAGUCUUGACAUUCCAAGAAUACCCUCAACUGGUCCUCUCCUUUUUUCGAAAAACGUGACAAGCCUGUAAGACUAAGGGAAAGAGUAAAGCAGUUUCUGUUCAUUGUACGCUGGACAAAUUCCGAGUGGAUUCUGCAAUACUGAAUUAGCAUAGAGGACUUUCUGGAGGGAGAGAAGUGGACACUGUUCUUGACAGCUAUACUCAAUAUAUACUCACUACUUGGAAAAAACCAGGAAAGCAAAUGCACACUGGCAGCUUCUCACUAUGGACCAAUCAAAUGUUUCCCAUUUGAGUCUCGCAGUACUGUGAAAAGUUCCCUUUGGAUGUCUUCCUGCCAGAGGAUGGUUUGACUCCCUCCGCCAGUGCAGGCAAGAGGAGAGGAAGGAGCUACAGACAUUCAGUGGGCUCACAUCUUGGGCACUUGUUCUGAUCCAUGCUCCAGCCAUAAUGUGACUCCUUCACCAGAGGCCCAAACAAACAGGGCUGUCUGAUCUUGCACUUAAGCUUCUGGAGCCAUCAGCAAAAAUCAACCUCUCAUUACUUCAUAAGUGGCAUGCAUCAGAAGAAGACUUAAGUCCCACGGUGAGCCAGUGACUUAUCAGUUCAUACUCGCUGGAGUCAGAGGUCAGAAGAACAUAAGCCAACAACCCCUGGUUAUUCUCUGAAAUCUCCAUGAUGGCACUGGCUCUGCACAGGGCAGAGUUAGGAUACAAACCAGUGUGGUGUAGAUGUAUGGGUAGUGACUCUGGUUUACCUCCAGAUACAUUCUUGGGCACCCUAGUUGUCUUUUAUCAGAAAAGCCACAACUGACUCUAAGGCCAGCAUAAGAACAAAAGACAGAAGAAAACAUGGAGUCAGAAACUUGAAGUUACUGCGGGGAGGAAUAUCAGACAUUGAGGUUUCACUAACUGCCAAGCCAUGGGAUGUAACAUCGAAGAAAAUCUAAAAGUGUGUCAUGCCAGCUUGCCCUUCAACUGGAGCUCUGUGAGGCUGGAGCCACAACUGUAUUUCCGGGUAUAUCCCCACUCCUUGUGCUGGUGUGUGGGCACCUUCCCACCCAUCCCAGAAAGGAAGGCGAGGGGACUGAUGCAAUUCGUGGACUGAUCUUCCUAACAACACAAGUCAGCUUCAUGUUGAGCAUUCCUGGAGAACAAAAGUGUUUUUGCUGCCAAGAUGUCAGGUUCUUUUUAGAGAGCUAAAAAUUAUACACAUCAGAAUUUCUAAAAUAAACGCUGAAUCUGAACCUUCCAGGCAGUGUUCUUGGUUUUCUCCCUGAGCUAUCAAAGAACAAAUUUGUUCCUUCCUUUAUUAAUAAGUUUGUUGGAAAUCUGUUGUGCCAGCCCAUGACUAUUUUCCAGGAAAGCAGAUUAAUGCUAGAUUAUGAAAAUAAAUGAUAACAUAUUUA